CUGAAGGUUCUCACUCUCACUUACACACACUCAGGCCCAUUCAAAGAGUUCUGCUGAUGGCAAUAAUGUAAUUUUGGAGAGAAAACACAUCAGACGUGAAGUACAGCUACAGCGGUGGGAAAGAUGGUUUUGAGGUUGAUCUUCAGUCAACAGCCACAAUGGAAGAUUAUAAUGUUCUGCCACUUGAUUUCAGCAGUCUGCCAGCACACUGUAAUUGCCAGUGAAUGUGACGGUGGUAAAGAUAUGUUUGUCACAGUCAAAGAAAACAGCCUGAUGGGAAAAUUUAUUGCCAACAUUAGCUUCUCUGCAGACCCAUCAUCCAAUCACAUCAACUUGAGCCUGACAGGCAAGGAUGCUGAUUGGUUAUA